rnacentral:lncRNA from 1 species
CUGUUUACUAAAGAAAACAUGAAUAAUGACAGGAACCGUCGAGGAAUCGUCCAGAGUGCAUGGGAAACGAGCAAGUGGGACAAACUCAGCAGGAAAAGGUUGUCCCUGAGGAUUGGCCUCGUCACCCUAUCGACUACGCCAGGAUCCGCAUCUCCCACAAUCCUCUGGCUCUCCUCUGGUGGUGUCUUUCUUUAGCCCCGUGUUUGGAUGUUGGCAGACACUGAUGAUGAACUGCUACAACUACUUGAACUACACUGGCACCCUCCCCCUUCC